GCAAAAUUUUCGACUCCCGAAGAGCCUGUUCGAGGAAAUUCUUGCAAAAAUAGCCCCAUUCAUUGCUUCAAAACAUAACCGUGGUUUAUCUGCGGAACAAAAACUGGCUACUGUGUUAAGGUUUUUUGCACAAGGAUCUUACCAACAGGGUGUUGGUAACGAUUUUACCAUGACAAUUGGCCAAUCUACUUUUUCAGAAACGUUAGAUCAAACCUUAACAGUUCUGAAGCGUGAACUAACAUACGCAAUUACCAUGGAUCUAACAGAAGACGAGAGAGCAGAUGCCAGAAGAUACUUUUACUCAAAAUUACCUGUUCCUGGUGUAGUAAUGUGCAUCGAUGGAACACAUAUAAGAAUCGUUGCGCCUCACGACAACUCAAUCUAUUAUUUCAAUAGAAAGGGAUUUUAUAGUCUUAACGCUUUGAUGAUAUGUGACCACAGGCAAAUAAUCCGUUUUGUAGACGCGAGGUUUGGCGGCUCAGAUCACGAUUCUUACAUUUAUAAUUCCAGUCCGAUUUCUUCAUAUUUUGAAGAAAAAUGGAGAAAUGGAGACCGAAUGUUUAAACUCUUGGGAGACUCAGC